rnacentral:rRNA from 1 species
GAAAUUCCGGGGCUCAACCCCGGACCUGCAUUUGAAACUGUUGGUCUUGAGUAUCGGAGAGGCAGGCGGAAUUCCUAGUGUAGCGGUGAAAUGCGUAGAUAUUAGGAGGAACACCAGUGGCGAAGGCGGCUCACUGGACUGUAACUGACGUUGAGGCUCGAAAGCGUGGGGAGCAAACAG